AGGAGGGCAACACCUCUGCUGGAUGGACUCUGAAGAGAAACACAAGCAGACAGCAGAACACUCAUUGUGGAGAUGGGUGGGGGAAACCAGCUGGUUCUAACUGUAACAUCAGCUACAUUGACCCACUUGAAAGUGGAGUUUACUGGUGUGAGUCCAGAGAGGGUCCCAUCAGUAACAUGGUUAACCUGACAGUCACUGGUGGAUCAGUGAUCCUGCAGAGUCCUGUCCUCCCUGUGAUGGAGGGAGA